rnacentral:rRNA from 1 species
UAGUGCGACCAUACCAGGACUAAUACACAUGAUCACAUUAGAACUUCAAAAUUAAACGCGCUUGAGCGAUAGUAGUAGUAAGAUGCUUGACCCCUUGAAAAGUCCUCGUGUUGUACCCA